rnacentral:lncRNA from 1 species
UAAUUACUGGAGGUGGGAGCAGUGGGGGAUCCUCUGGGUGCUGCAGUGGAGGCUCCUCGAGCUACGGCAUGGGAGGAGGAUACAGCAGUGGUGGUUACUCAGGCUCCAAGAGCAUCAUUGGAGGUGGGAGCAGUGGUGGAUCCUCUGGAUGCUGUGGUGGAGGAUCCAGCAGUGGUGGGUCUUCAGGUGGCAAGAUCAUAAUUACUGGAGGUGGGAGCAGUGGGGGAUCCUCUGGGUGCUGCAGUGGAGGCUCCUCGGGCUACGGAAUAGGAGGAGGAUACAGCAGUGGUGGUUACUCGGGCUCCAAGAGCAUCAUUGGAGGAGGUGGAAGCAGUGGUGGAUCCUCUGGUUGCUGUGGUGGGGGAUCCAGCAGUGGUGGGUCUUCAGGUGGCAAGAUCAUAAUUACAGGAGGUGGAAGCAGUGGGGGAUCCUCUGGGUGCUGCAGUGGAGGCUCCUCAGGCUACGGAAUAGGAGGAGGAUACAGCAGUGGUGGUUACUCGGGAUCCAAGAGCAUCAUUGGAGGAGGUGGAAGCAGUGGUGGAUCCUCUGGAUGCUGUGGUGGAGGAUCCAGCAGUGGUGGCUCUUCAGGUGGCAAGAUCAUAAUUACUGGAGGUGGGAGCAGUGGGGGAUCCUCUGGGUGCUGCAGUGGAGGCUCCUCGAGCUACGGCAUGGGAGGAGGAUACAGCAGUGGUGGUUACUCAGGCUCCAAGAGCAUCAUUGGAGGUGGGAGCAGUGGUGGAUCCUCUGGUUGCUGUGGUGGAGGAUCCAGCAGUGGUGGGUCUUCGGGAGGCAAGAUCAUCAUUGGAGGAGGUGGAAGCAGUGGGGGAUCCUCUGGGUGCUGCAGUGGAGGCUCCUCGGGCUACGGAAUAGGAGGAGGAUACAGCAGUGGUGGUUACUCAGGCUCCAAGAGCAUCAUUGGAGGAGGUGGAAGCAGUGGGGGAUCCUCUGGUUGCUGUGGUGGGGGAUCCAGCAGUGGUGGCUCUUCAGAAGGAAAGAUCAUCAUUACUGGAGGUGGGAGCAGUGGGGGAUCCUCUGGAUGCUGUAGUGGGGGAUCCAGCUAUGGAAUGGGUGGAGGAUCUAGUGGUGGUUAUUCAGGAUCCAAGAGCAUCAUUGGAGGUGGAAGCAGUGGAGGUUCCUCUGGAUGCUGCGGUGGUGGCUCUUCUGGCUAUGGCUCUUCUGGCUAUGGCUCUUCCAGCUAUGGCAGUGGGGGAUCAGGCCAGAAGAUCAUCAUUAGCUCUGGAGGUGGAGGAGGUGGCUCAUCUGGAUGCUGUGGUGGGGGAUCCAGCAGUGGUGGAUCUUCUGGAGGCAAGAUCAUCAUUGGAGGAGGUGGAAGCAGUGGUGGAUCCUCUGGAUGCUGUGGUGGGGGAUCCAGCAGUGGUGGGUCUUCAGGUGGCAAGAUCAUAAUUACAGGAGGUGGAAGCAGUGGAGGAUCCUCAGGAUGCUGUAGUGGGGGAUCCAGCUACGGGGGUGGAUAUAGCAGUGGAUCAUCAGGAUCGAAGAGCAUCAUUGGAGGUGGAAGCAGUGGAGGUUCCUCUGGAUGCUGCAGUGGUGGCUCUUCUGGCUAUGGCACUUCAGGCUAUGGCUCUUCCAGGUAUGGCAGUGGGGGAUCAGGCCAGAAGAUCAUCAUUAGCUCUGGAGGAGGAGGAGGAGGUGGCUCAUCUGGAUGCUGUGGUGGGGGAUCCAGCAGUGGUGGCUCUUCAGGAGGAAAGAUCAUAAUUACAGGAGGUGGAAGCAGUGGGGGAUCCUCUGGGUGCUGCAGUGGAGGCUCCUCGGGCUACGGAAUAGGAGGAGGAUACAGCAGUGGUGGUUACUCGGGAUCCAAGAGCAUCAUUGGAGGAGGUGGAAGCAGUGGUGGAUCCUCUGGUUGCUGUGGUGGAGGAUCCAGCAGUGGUGGGUCUUCAGGAGGAAAGAUCAUAAUUACUGGAGGUGGGAGCAGUGGGGGAUCCUCUGGGUGCUGCAGUGGAGGCUCCUCGGGCUACGGCAUGGGAGGAGGAUACAGCAGUGGUGGUUACUCAGGCUCCAAGAGCAUCAUUGGAGGUGGGAGCAGUGGUGGAUCCUCUGGUUGCUGUGGUGGGGGAUCCAGCAGUGGUGGCUCUUCAGAAGGAAAGAUCAUCAUUACUGGAGGUGGGAGCAGUGGAGGAUCCUCUGGAUGCUGUAGUGGGGGAUCCAGCUAUGGAAUGGGUGGAGGAUCCAGUGGUGGUUAUUCAGGAUCCAAGAGCAUCAUUGGAGGUGGAAGCAGUGGAGGUUCCUCUGGAUGCUGCGGUGGUGGCUCUUCUGGCUAUGGCUCUUCUGGCUAUGGCUCUUCAGGCUAUGGCAGUGGGGGAUCAGGCCAGAAGAUCAUCAUUAGCUCUGGAGGUGGAGGAGGUGGCUCAUCUGGAUGCUGUGGUGGGGGAUCCAGCAGUGGUGGAUCUUCCGGAGGCAAGAUCAUCGUUGGAGGAGGUGGAAGCAGUGGGGGAUCCUCUGGAUGCUGCGGUGGGGGAUCCAGUGGGGGCAGUGGCGGUUCCUCGGGCCACACCAUCAUCAUCAGCUCCGGAGGAGGCAGUGGUGGGUACGGCCAGUCCUCGCAGCAGAAAUGCCCCAUUGUCAUUCCUCACAUCGAGAGCCACCAGACCAAGCAGGCCUGCUACUUUCCUGGCCAGCAGAAGUGACCGCCCCCGACAGCGCAGCACUCAGCAGGAACAGCCCUGCCUCUGUUUUCCAUGUUUGUCUGCUUCCCCACCAUGUGUCCUCUUCUCAAUCCUUGAUGCUCCAUUACUAUGCCAUGAACUCUGGGCUUAACAACCUUUUGCUCCGUGCUGGUGUUGUGAUUUCUUUGGUCAAAUUGUGCUCCAUUUUCAGUAAGGAUUUGUAGUACCUAAUAAAUAUCACGACAUCACAAUGUA